CCUACGGGGCGCAGCAGUGUGGAAUAUUGGUCAAUGGGCGCAAGCCUUACCCAGCAACUCCUCUUUAAUGAAGAUGUCUUUCGGUUUUUAAACUUCUUUUCUCAGUGACGAAGAAAGUGACGGUACCUGAGGAAUAAGCCACGGCUAACUACGUGCCAGCAGCCGCGGUAAUACGUAGGUGGCAAGCGUUAUCCGGAUUUACUGGGUGUAAAGGGCGUGUAGGCGGGAAAGCAAGUCAUAUGUUAAAACCACGGGCUCAACCUGUGGCCUGCAUUUGAAACUGUUUUUCUUGAGUACUGGAGAGG
rnacentral:rRNA from 1 species